rnacentral:rRNA from 1 species
GACGAACGCUGGCGGCGUGCUUAACACAUGCAAGUCGAACGGUAAGGCCCUGCUUUUGUGGGGUGCUCAAGUGGCGAAAGGGUGAGUAACACGUGAGUAACCUCCCCUUUACUUUGGGAUACCUUCAGGGAACUGGGGCUAAUACCGCAUAGGAGCUCCUGCUGCAUGGUGGGUGUUGGAAAGUUUCGGCGGUUGGGGAUGGACUCGCGGCUUAGCAGCGUGUUGGUGGGGUAGUGGCUUACCAGGGCUUUGACGGGUAGCCGGCCUGAGAGGGUGACCGGCCACAUUGGGACUCAGAUACGGCCCAGACGCCAACGGGAGGCAGCAGUGGAGAAUAUUGCACAAUGGGCGGAAGCCUGAUACAGCAACGCCGCGUGCGGGAUGACGGCCUUCGGGUUGUAACGCGCUUUCGCCUGUAACGAAGCGUGAGUGACGGUAAUGGGUAAAGAAGCACCGGCUAACUACGUG